AUUGAACGCUGGCGGCAGGCCUAACACAUGCAAGUCGAACGAGUGGCGGACGGGUGAGUAAUGUCUGGGAAACUGACUGAUGGAGGGGGAUAAAUACUGGAAACGGUAGCUAAUACCGCAUACCAUCAGAUGGGGCCAGAUGGGAUUAGCUAGUUGGUGGGGUAACGGCUAACAAAGGCGAAGAUCCCUAGCUGGUCUGAGAGGAGGACCAGCCAAACUGUAACGGAGACACGGUCCAGACUCCUACGGGAGGCAGCAGGGGGGAAUAUUGCACAAUGGGCGCAAGCCUGAUGCAGCCAUGCCGCGUGUAUGAAGAAGGCCUUAGGGUUGUAAAGUACUUUCAGCGGGGAGGCGUUACCCGCAGAAGAAGCACCGGCUAACUCCGUGCCAGCAGCCGCGGUAAUAC
rnacentral:rRNA from 1 species